rnacentral:rRNA from 1 species
CACAUGCAAGUCGCACGGUCAGCAAUGGCAGUGGCGGACGGGUGAGUAACACGUAGGAAUCUAUCCUGGGGUGGGGGACAACAGCGGGAAACUGCUGCUAAUACCGCAUGAUACCUGAGGGUCAAAGGCGCAAGUCGCCUUGGGAGGAGCCUGCGUCUGAUUAGCUUGUUGGUGGGGUAAAGGCCUACCAAGGCGACGAUCAGUAGCUGGUCUGAGAGGAUGAUCAGCCACAUUGGGACUGAGACACGGCCCAAACUCCUACGGGAGGCAGCAGUGGGGAAUAUUGGACAAUGGGGGAAACCCUGAUCCAGCAAUGCCGCGUGUGUGAAGAAGGUCUUCGGAUUGUAAAGCACUUUUGGCAGGGACGAUGAUGACGGUACCUGCAGAAUAAGCCCCGGCUAACUUCGUGCCAGCAGCCGCGGUAAUACGAAGGGGGCUAGCGUUGCUCGGAAUGACUGGGCGUAAAGGGCGCGUAGGCGGCGCGUACAGUCAGAAGUGAAAUUCCUGGGCUCAACCUGGGGACUGCUUUUGAUACGUGCGUGCUUGAGUGAGGAAGAGGGUUGUGGAAUUUCCAGUGUAGAGGUGAAAUUCGUAGAUAUUGGAAAGAACACCGGUGGCGAAGGCGGCAACCUGGUCCUUUACUGACGCUGAGGCGCGAAAGCGUGGGGAGCAAACAGGAUUAGAUACCCUGGUAGUCCACGCUGUAAACGAUGUGUGCUGGAUGUUGGGAAACUUAGUUUUUCAGUGUCGUAGCUAACGCGAUAAGCACACCGCCUGGGGAGUACGGCCGCAAGGUUGAAACUCAAGGAAUUGACGGGGGCCCGCACAAGCGGUGGAGCAUGUGGUUUAAU